AGCUCUAUAUAACUCUGCUGUAGUCCAAACCAGAGCCUUAUCUCUGUCUGUGUAAACUCUAUAUAACUCUGCUGUAGUCCAGACCAGAGCCUUAUCCUUAUCUGUCUGUUGGUGUUGUUUAUCCUCCGGGUCUCUGUCUGUUGGUGUUGUUUAUCCUCCAGGUGUCUGUCUGUCUGUUGGUGUUGUUUAUCCUCCGGGUCUCUGUCUGUUGGUGUUGUUUAUCCUCCAGGUCUCUGUCUGUCUGUUGGUGUUGUUUAUCCUCCAGGUCUCUGUCUGUCUGUUGGUGUUGUUUAUCCUCCAGGUGUCUGUCUGUCUGUUGGUGUUGUUUAACCUCCAGGUCUCUGUCUGUCGGUGUUGUUUAUCCUCCAGGUCUCUGUCUGUCUGUUGGUGUUGUUUAUCCUCCAGGUCUCUGUCUGUUGGUGUUGUUUAUCCUCCAGGUCUCUGUCUGUCUGUUGGUGUUGUUUAUCCUCCAGGUCUCUGUCUGUUGGUGUUGUUUAUCCUCCAGGUCUCUGUCUGUCUGUUGGUGUUGUUUAUCCUCCAGGUCUCUGUCUGUUGGUGUUGUUUAUCCUCCAGGUCUCUGUCUGUCUGUUGGUGUUGUUUAUCCUCCAGGUCUCUGUCUGUUGGUGUUGUUUAUCUUCCAGGUCUCUGUCUGUCUGUUGGUGUUGUUUAUCCUCCAGGUCUCUGUCUGUCUGUUGGUGUUGUUUAUCCUCCAGGUCUCUGUCUGUCUGUUGGUGUUGUUUAUCCUCCAGGUCUCUGUCUGUUGGUGUUGUUUAUCCUCCAGGUCUCUGUCUGUUGGUGUUGUUUAUCCUCCAGGUCUCUGUCUGUCUGUUGGUGUUGUUUAUCUUCCAGGUCUCUGUCUGUCUGUUGGUGUUGUUUAUCCUCCAGGUCUCUGUCUGUCUGUUGGUGUUGUUUAUCCUCCAGGUGUCUGUCUGUUGGUGUUGUUUAUCCUCCAGGUCUCUGUCUGUUGGUGUUGUUUAUCCUCCAGGUCUCUGUCUGUCUGUUGGUGUUGUUUAUCCUCCAGGUCUCUGUCUGUUGGUGUUGUUUAUCCUCCAGGUCUCUGUCUGUUGGUGUUGUUUAUCUUCCAGGUGUCUGUCUGUCUGUUGGUGUUGUUUAUCCUCCAGGUCUCUGUCUGUCUGUUGGUGUUGUUUAUCUUCCAGGUCUCUGUCUGUCUGUUGGUGUUGUUUAUCCUCCAGGUCUCUGUCUGUUGGUGUUGUUUAACCUCCAGGUCUCUGUCUGUCUGUUGGUGUUGUUUAUCCUCCAGGUCUCUGUCUGUUGGUGUUGUUUAUCUUCCAGGUCUCUGUCUGUCUGUUGGUGUUGUUUAUCCUCCAGGUCUCUGUCUGUUGGUGUUGUUUAUCCUCCAGGUCUCUGUCUGUCUGUUGGUGUUGUUUAUCUUCCAGGUCUCUGUCUGUCUGUUGGUGUUGUUUAUCCUCCAGGUCUCUGUCUGUUGGUGUUGUUUAUCCUCCAGGUCUCUGUCUGUCUGUUGGUGUUGUUUAUCUUCCAGGUCUCUGUCUGUUGGUGUUGUUUAUCCUCCAGGUCUCUGUCUGUUGGUGUUGUUUAUCCUCCAGGUCUCUGUCUGUUGGUGUUGUUUAUCCUCCAGGUCUCUGUCUGUCUGUUGGUGUUGUUUAUCCUCCAGGUCUCUGUCUGUCUGUUGGUGUUGUUUAUCCUCCAGGUCUCUGUCUGUUGGUGUUGUUUAUCC
ensembl:lncRNA